UGUCAAUAUCCUGGUAUGGAUAAUUGACAAAAGUUAAAGAGAAGAUCCUAAAACUAAAACUUCGGUUUUAGUAAGAAAUAGCGUUUUUACAAACAUAAAUUCUGAUAGGAAUUUAAAUAGUAAGCAUGAAAGAUACAAGUCUUGACACUGAUAGGCGCAAGACGAUAUAUUCGAAAAGUGAUAUUUUCAAAAAUGAAAGGUUGAUACAAACUAAACACGAUGUGACACGAUCACGGUUAGGAAAUGUAAUGUGAAGUAAAAUCACGUUAUAACCAAGCGAGCAGUGAGAAGUAACGGGACUAAUAAGUCUAGUUAGUAAGACCGGUUAAGGCCAGUAAUUCAAAUCAAUAAAAAAAAUUGGUUUGCUUGUAAGCGGUGGAUUCGGUAUAACUGAACCGAAUAAAUAAAUCUGAAAACAAAAGAAAUUAUUGCUAAAAGUGAAAUAUUUCACUAAAGACCUUUAAACGGGUCAAGGUAACGGAUUCACCAAGAGUUCGAUAAUAUAUAAAAGCGAUGGAAAUCGCUAAGUUAACUAAACUAGUAGAAAUAACGGAAUUACGUUAUUUCAAAUUACAUUAUGUCGUAUGAGGUACGUAGAGGUUCUGUAACCAAAAAGAUAUUACCAAAAUUUUUCUGGUAAUACUAACAAUUGGUUAAAAUAUGAAUAAUGCUUAAGAGAUUACUCAGGUCAAACGCAUUGAGUUUAGAACUCAAUGAACUAUGUAAGCAAGGUUUCGAGGACGAAACCUCUUUAAGGGGGGUAGACUUGUAACACCCCGAAAACGGGCUUGGUAAUUAAACUCUGUUAAUACUAAAAGACGGGUAACGUACCGUUAUUAGUAAAAAUAACCCGGCAAAUAUUUGGAUUUAAAUAAGAAAUCCUAAUAUUAAAUAAAAACGAAUCAAAGUUUUAAGUAAUUAAGUUUAUAAAAGGCCCGAUUUAACGGGACUUAAAGUAAAACGGGUUACGACUUCCCGAACCUACUAAGCUAACUAGGAAUAAUUCUAACCUAGUUAGAUAGUGACUUAUGAGUGGGUUAAAACACUUAAAUUAUGAACUAAGGAAAAUGAAGGGGCCAAAGAUGUUAAAAUCGAAACUUAUGUUGCUAAUUUAAUUAAAACAAAAACCAAACACCCCAUUUGGGGAUGUCUGGUCGUACAAAGAAGCAGGAGGCGAUGGGUUUCUUCAAACCCUAAAAUCCUUACUAAUACUCUCAAAUUGGAGGUGCAAAUCUGGUCCAAAACGAAAAUUCGAGCAUAGAUUACUGAUCCCCAUUGCAAGGGGGUUGUAAGGUGAUAAGUGUGAUGAUGCUAAAUUCGUGUAAUGUGAUUUUGACUCUUGACAAGCUAGAUGGAGGCUUGGAAUGAAGCGGGUCAAACGGAGCAGGUACGAAAAGGAAAGCGUAAUUUGGAUGCGAGGUAAGUAAAGCUUACGCCCUCUUUUGUAAGUUAUGUGUUUAUUCAUAGGUUGUAAAUACGACAAAAGCUAUAUUUGGAAUAUGGUUCCGACACGAAAUGUAACGGGUCGGGACAUAUAAAAUAAUGAUAAACCAUGUUUAAUGGUAAAAUGGGGGAAAUGGUAAUUGGUCACGAGAUGACAUAUAUAUAAAAUGAGUUUUUGAAUUACUACUUAUUAAGGUAAGCCUAAACGAAUAAAAAGAGUAAAACGACGAAUUAGUCAUGUGUAGACGAAAAAGAGUUGAAGUUUAAAACAACACCAUUUAAUAUUAAGCACAAAAUAUUUGGUAGUCUAGACCAAACGGGUCAAAUGGUAAUAUUUAUACCAUUUGACAAUUAACGACUAAUAAGUGUAUGUCGAGUCUCAUGCUCGCAGGGUAAUUGGUUUAUGAAUUAGCGAGGCUAUGAAUUAGCAUAUUAUAGAGACAAGGUCUUAAAACGGGUCAAUAUGUUGACCCGAGCCAGGUACGCUUAUAUAUAUAGAUGUAUAGUUAAAAGUGUUUAACUUCCCUUCACGGGUCAAAAGGAGUAGAUAGGUAAAACGGGUUAAGAAUUCAUAAGAAACCCGUAAUUUGAACCUUGCACAUUAGUAAAUUGAUAUAACGUGAUAUGCAUGAUAUUUUGAAUAUGAUUGAUUGAUCUUUGAUAUUGGUUCAUAUGUAACAUAUUAGAAUUUCGAGAAACUAAUUGGUAUGUUAGAAAGAGCGAAAUCCGAGAUUUAGGCAUUGAGUAUAAUGAACAAAGCAACCAAAAGAUGUAUUUACAGGGACUACCGUAAGUUACGGUAGUACCGUAAGUUACGGUAGUACCGUAAGUUACGGUAGAGGUCAGGAGCUUACGGUGUGAGUCUACUGGUUUACGGUGGACCAUUAUUGGAAAUUGACCACCGUAACUUACGGUGAAACCGUAAGUUACGGUAGGGCCUGAAUGUUUAUAAAUUUUAUAUAAUUGUAAAUUUUCAAAUUCAUUUCGAUCGUAGUUUCGAUCAAGUAUCAUUUCUAAGCAUUCUAAUAUAAAUGUUUAUGUAAACAUUUCAGUCUUAGGUGCUCAAGGAUUAUGGGUGACGAUCAAGCAACCUUUGAAGGACCGAACACAUACUCUUGAAGCUUCCGCAUAAAUCAACUCGGUUUAAACAAUGUUUAUGAUGUAAACUGUUUGCUAAACAACUUUUGAAAUGUUUAAACGACGUACUCAAUUAUGUUAUGUUGUAUUAUUUUAAAAUUGUAAAGUUCAAACAAACCCGUAUUUUUACAAAGUAUAUGUAGUCAUAAUUACAUGUUGUUUGUCGUAUACUUUACAAAAAACCAUUAAAUAAUGACAAGGGUGUUACAGUAAUAUCAAACUUAUCUCACCAUAGU
rnacentral:lncRNA from 1 species